GGAGGAAUAUUGGACAAUGGGCGAAAGCCUGAUCCAGCAAUGCCACGUGAGUGAUGAAGGCCUUAGGGUUGUAAAGCUCUUUCAGCGGGGAAGAUAAUGACGGUACCCGCAGAAGAAGCUCCGGCUAACUCCGUGCCAGCAGCCGCGGUAAUACGGAGGGAGCGAGCGUUGUUCGGAAUUACUGGGCGUAAAGCGCACGUAGGCGGUUUAUUAAGUUGGGUGUGAAAUCCCAGGGCUUAACCCUGGAACU
rnacentral:rRNA from 1 species